CUCUGAAGAGUCCUACAAUAGGACGAAACGGCCGUCCAG
rnacentral:hammerhead_ribozyme from 1 species